AGGUAGACACUGAAUUCAUAGAGCAGACAAAGAAAGCAUGGGAGGUUAGCUCUGAGUUCCAAGAAUAAAGUAAAGCCAAGUGCCUUCAUGAAGCCCCCAUAAUGUUUGUAAUAAAGCUCACCACUGGGCUUUCUGGCCUCAGUUUCUUCAUCUGCAGAAUCCAUGGGCUAGCCGUGAUUAUACUUAAGGCUAAUACUUUACCCUGAAUAUUCAGGUUCUAGGUAUAUGCUUCAUUAAAACUAUCUAGGGCCUCAGAAGUUUAGAAUUCUGAUUUCGCAAAAUUCUGAUAAAAAAUAAAAUGUGUGAACAUGAGGGCAGCAAUCUUGGUAAUAAGGAAAAGCCUGGGGUAGGGCUGGAAACCUCGUAGGCACAGAGGCCCUCCAAGAGGUCCCUUCCCAUUGAUCGGGCCGGGCUAGGGCAGUCACAGCGUGCUGGUCUGGUGGAGUUUAUGCAGCAACACAAACAAGAAACGCAGCAGCAGGGACAGAAAAUCCCCAUGAAGUCUGCCUUCUGCAACUAACUCUCGGUCCACCCCUCUCCACAUCUUGGUCUUCCCUUCCCAACCCCAUUCACAUCCUUCCAGGGGAGAACGUGCAAGAAAUUUCUCCUUUCCUGCAAGCAAAGGAAUCCAGUAGUGCCACCUUGGUCAGAAUGGCCCUUUGUUCUGCUGUUUAAUGACUAAUUAUGAUGCUAUGAGAGGCAUACACAACUCUGGCAGAGCCAGGCCCUCCUGCUCCAGCAGGGCUGAGCGGCUGGAAGUGUGUAAUCUUCGGAAAGCUGUGACUGCGACCUGGAGUUGCACAUGUGUUCUGGUGAAUGGAGUGAGAUGAGGACUGGGUUUGAGAAGAUUUUGUUGGCUCCACAUGGUUUUGCAAAUCAACCUGCUGCUCCAGUGAUGACAUGCUGCUGAGGGAAGGUUUGGUGGUUCCUGGGAAGUUGAAAGGAUCUGGGCAAGCUUUUUAUUGCUGACUGUGUGCAACUGCCGCAAGGGGUCAAAAGUGCUUGGUUUGCACAACAUCUCCCCGGCAUUCUUACACGUGUGGUUAUGGAAUCAGGGUGCAGGGAAGGGUCAUGGAGCAGAGGGAAUUGCAUGUGCUCGAUCUUUUUCACAUUGGAGCUGCUUUCUGAAACCCGGCACGGGGAAGGUGAGGGUGCUGGAUAGUUUGGGGGGGCCACAGAGUCCUGUGGGUGUUAAAUCUCGGUCCCCCUCUGGGGACUUGUCCUUGCAGGGUGCUCAUCCAGGCCUUAAAAGUUGGCAGCAUCCCCCAGGAACUACCCUGUGAACAAAUCCAGGCUUUCGGAAGCACGUGAUUCUGCAGAAAUGCCACAUUCUCUUCCACAUGGGCUGUGGGCUCUGAGUCCCCCUUUGCUUCCUCGGCCUAUGUACCUGCUGAAGAAGACAGUUGUGUCGUGUACAUGCAACCUAAGGAGGUAACCUUUUACCCAGCCUGAGACUUCAGAGGGUAUUCAUAUUGGGGACCAGCAGCCCGUGAUGUUUGUCCCCCAGAGAGGGGGAGAGAGCUGCUGCCUGCAGAGUGGCUGCUCCUGCUUUGCACGGCCCCUGGCUUCUGCAUCCCUCCAUCCUCCAGCUGGGCACAGAGGUUGCCAAAAGGGCCAGUAGGAGGAGAAGGCUUCAUGGAGGACGGGGGCAAGAGCGGGCCGACCAUGCUGGCUUCCUCGCCUUGUGUCUGGCUGACUGCACAGGCCUGAGGAGGUAACCAACAGCAGAAACAGCUCUGGACAAAUGAGCAAAGGAAGACUCGACUGAGUUUCCCCAGAAUGGAGAGGAGCUGAGGAAGCUCCAGGGCCCACAGCGGAAGCUGGUGGACCAUUUCACUAGGACCCUGGGAGCAAAUCAGUCUGACUUGUGUUUGGCCCCUGAAUCCCCCUGCUCAAGGCUCAGAGUCCUGGAGAAUUGAGGGCAACCCCCACAUUGCAUGCCAUGGAUGGUGGCUUCCCCAGGGGAGUCGGGGUGCUAGGACUAGAGCAUGCCUCCUACAAAUGUUGACUUCCCCAGAAAAAUACCAGCUCUCUUAAGUAAGGGUGGGUCUAUCUGUGGGGAUGAUAGGGUCACCCUUAUUAUUCAUACGUUCCCUGGGCCUGAGAACUUACCUGGAAUACACUUUGUUAAAUAGUAAUA
rnacentral:lncRNA from 1 species